rnacentral:lncRNA from 1 species
UGGAAAUAAAAGGCUAUGAUUAUACUUGCCUACCAUCAGACAUCUACCUCGCUACUGUUCCUGAAUUGCCAUGGAAAGCAGUGUUAUGGGAGGAUGUGAAAGAGCAACUAAAGAGGCAAUAUUUUGUACUAUGCCCUUUGUUAUUCCACACUUCCUGCACACUCCUAAACAUUUCUUACUGCUCUUGCUGCCACCUGAGUUUGGCAAUAAAGCAAGGGAACCACCGCCUCUCUGACCCCACACAAGGCCCCUGCACCACUGCAGGAUGGGAUCCAUGUGCACCAGCUCCUCACCCCGGACACUGCCUCACAGCUCCCACCCUCGCCAGGGUGCCCACAGCAGCUCUCAGCCACCUCCGCCAGGCUGCCCAGAGCAGCCCUGGGCCACAGCAGAUUUUAAACAGGCUAAUUACAGCCACUCGGGUCAGCCGAGAGCAGCCAUGUGCUUUGCCAGGGGAGAUCUCAUCUGCAAGAGCCAGCUGAGCCCAGUCCUGGCAGACACUGAGCACCACGGAUGCCCAGCAUCAAAGCUGGAGACACAUGUGGGAGAAGUUGUGCAACCACAUGCAAGGCUGCAAUUUCUGAUGGCCAUGAACACAGGUGAUGGCCUCUAACUAUCUGCCUGAUAACACCUACCUCCUUUUUAAAAGAAGGCUUUGCAACAGAUGUUCACAGAGCAUCAAUAAUUCCGAGUCCUGCUGAAAAACUCUCAAUGUUCUUGCUGUUUAACUUGAAAUCUUGGGGCCUUAUCUUCUGGAAUUCUGAAGAUAUGCAUCUGAAAUGUAAAAUUGUUGUGAACUGUGGUCUGAACAUAAGCAUGCAGACAUGACCAUGAAACUUAAAGUAUCAUUUUUCCCUGUGUUGCUUUUCCCCCCAAAUUCUGUUUGCAAAGUGAUAUUGAGACUUCAUUCUGUUCUACCAGUCAUUUGAAUGUGACAUUCCAAGAUUUAUUAGGAGCAGGUGUAAAAUAUUUUAUUUUCUUUAUCUUGUUGCUACAUCAAUAAUUUAUUCACUCUAUUAUUAUGACUAGAUAUUUGCUAAACUUGUUAACAUAUUUAGUGAUGAAAAAAGGGCUUCCUAAGAAUCACAGUGCCGCUCAAUUACAUGGCAUGGAUUUUUUUCUCAUUUUUGUUCCAGUUUUUGACCUCGCUACCUUCACUUGCAGAAUGUUGAGUCGUGUUGCCUUCUGGGUAUCUUGUGCAGCACUGUGUAGCCCAUUGCUACCUGACAGCUCACCUUUCUCACUACUAUUUAUUCAAUGAUUCUAAAGUAAAUUUUACAGCACAAACUGAUAUCAAACAUAUGACUUAUGUUUUGCCUGGUACCAUCUUUUAAAAAACCUGAUUAGUUCAAAAGACUUUCCAAGAUCCAAGGCUUGGUAAUCAGCUGAAUUUCUCUUGAGAGUCUCAUUUAAAUUACAAGAAGAGUAACAGUAUUGGGUGUCUGCAGUUGCCAUUUGUUUAGUUGGAG